rnacentral:rRNA from 1 species
GACGUAGGGCGCGAGCGUUGUCCGGAUUUAUUGGGCGUAAAGAGCUCGUAGGCGGCUCAUUGCGUCAACCGUGAAAACCAGCAGCUCAACUGUUGGCUUGCGGUUGAUACGGGUGGGCUGGAGUUCGGUAGGGGAGACUGGAAUUCCUGGUGUAGCGGUGAAAUGCGCAGAUAUCAGGAGGAACACCGGUGGCGAAGGCGGGUCUCUGGGCCUGUACUGACGCUGAGGAACGAAAGCGUGGGGAGCGAACAGG